UAAGACCGGUSCCAGCCGCCGCGGUAAUACCGGUGGCUMGAGUGGUAGCCGCGUUUAUUGGGCYUAAAGCGUCSGUAGCCGKUCCGAUAAGUYUYUGGUGAAAGCCCACAGYUCAACUGUGGGAAUCGCUGGRGAUAYUWUCGGACUUGAGGCCGGGAGAGGCUGGAGGUACUCCCAGGGUAGGGGUGAAAUCCUAUAAUCCUGGGAGGACCACCUGUGGCGAAGGCGUCCAGCUGGAACGGACCUGACGGUGAGGGACGAA
rnacentral:rRNA from 1 species